rnacentral:tRNA from 1 species
GGGGCUGUGUCUCAGUGGUAGAGAGCUCACCUAGCAAGUGCAAGGUGCAGUGUUCAAUCCUCAGCACCACA